GGCACUUUGGCGGAGUGGUUAACGCGAUGCCCUGCUAAGGCAUUUCCCUAGGGAGCGUGUGUUCGAAUCACACAGGUGUCG
rnacentral:tRNA from 3 species